ACAUCCAGAGAAUUUAGCAGAGAUGCUUUAGUGCCUUUCGGGAACUCUGAGACAGGUGCUGCAUGGCUGUCGUCAGCUCGUGUUGUGAAAUGUUGGGUUAAGUCCCGNAACGAGCGCAACCCUUAUCCUUUGUUGCCAGCACGUAAUGGUGGGAACUCAAAGGAGACUGCCGGUGAUAAACCGGAGGAAGGUGGGGAUGACGUCAAGUCAUCAUGGCCCUUACGAGUAGGGCUACACACGUGCUACAAUGGCGCAUACAAAGAGAAGCGACCUCGCGAGAGCAAGCGGACCUCAUAAAGUGCGUCGUAGUCCGGAUUGGAGUCUGCAACUCGACUCCAUGAAGUCGGAAUCGCUAGUAAUCGUAAAUCAGAAUGUUACGGUGAAUACGUUCCCGGGCCUUGUACACACCGCCCGUCACACCAUGGGAGUGGGUUGCAAAAGAAGUAGAUAGCUUAACCUUCGGGAGGGCGUUUACCACUUUGUGAUUCAUGACUGGGGUGAAGUCGUAACAAGGUAAGCGUAGUGCU
rnacentral:rRNA from 1 species